GAGGGCAUAGUUCGAGUGGUAGAGCUCAUGCUUAGCAUGCACGAGGUCCUGGGUUCAAUCCCUAGUACCUCCA
rfam:Camelus ferus unplaced genomic scaffold scaffold1748, whole genome shotgun sequence.